AAAAAAAUGAAACUAGAGCACCAACUUACACCAUACACAAAAAUAAAUUCAAGGUGGAUAAGAGUCUUAAAUAUAGGUUGUUACACCAUAAGAGUCCUAGAGGAAAUCAUUGGCAGGAAAAUUUCAGACAUUCAAUGCAGUAACAUCUUCACUGAUAUUUCCCCUAAAGCAAGGGACAUAAAGCAAAGAAUAAACAAAUGGAACCUCAUCAAA